UUUCUAUGUUCUCUUUCUUCUUCUUUUUCCCAGACAGAAAUUGUAAAUCACUUUUUCCAGCAUUUCAUUUCCCGAUUCUUCUACCAAUUUUCAUCCUUCAAACCCUAAAUUUUCUUAAAAGAAAAAGGCAAUUUCUUAUUGUUUGAUACUUGGAUUAGUAAAUCAUUAAUUUUUACAAUUUCUGUAAUUCAGAAUCUCCCUUUAAUCUAUCUUUUAUUAGAUUUGAGAUUAUUAUGAUUUUGGAAAUUUAGAAUUUGUUUUUGUUUGUUGUAGUUGGAAUCACAAUCACAAGGGUUUCUUUAUGGUAUCAUAGUUUGGUUUAUCUGUGGAAUGUGGGGACUUCCAGAUAUUCGUGAAGCCUCCUCUAUGUUCAAGAGAGUAUGCCAUUGUAGCUGAUAAUCAAGGGAAUUUAGAUAUGGAAUAUUUGGAGAAUGGUAAGGUGCAAGAAACUACAAAUCCUUCUUGGAGACUUUCUUUGCCACAUGUACUUGUUGCCACCAUUUCGUCCUUUUUAUUUGGAUUCCAUCUUGGGUGCAUAGUUGUUAAUGAAACACUAGAGAGCAUUUGGUUGGAUCUUGGAUUUGGAGGGAACACCCUAGCAGAAGGUAUCUUUUGUGAUGAAAAUCUUUCUCCACUCAUUUAUGCAUUUGGUAUUCUGGUUUAUAUAUAUUGGUUUCUAUCUAGUAUAUUCGCCUC